AUUGAACGCUGGCGGCAGGCCUAACACAAGCAAGUCGAGCGCGAAAGGCCUUCGGGCUGAGUAGAGCGGCGGACGGGUGAGUAACGCGUAGGAAUCUACCCGGUAGUGGGGGACAACUGGGGGAAACUCAAGCUAAUACCGCAUACGCCCUCAGGGGGAAAGCGGGGGACCUUCGGGCCUCGCGCUAUCGGAUGAGCCUGCGUAGGAUUAGCUAGUUGGUGAGGUAAAGGCUCACCAAGGCGACGAUCCUUAGCUGGUCUGAGAGGAUGAUCAGCCACACUGGGACUGAGACACGGCCCAGACUCCUACGGGAGGCAGCAGUGGGGAAUAUUGCGCAAUGGGGGCAACCCUGACGCAGCCAUGCCGCGUGUGUGAAGAAGGCCUUCGGGUUGUAAAGCACUUUCAAUGGGGAAGAAAAGCGUACUGUUAAUAGCGGUGCGCCGUGACGUUACCCAUAGAAGAAGCACCGGCUAACUCCGUGCCAGCCGCCGCGGUAACAC
rnacentral:rRNA from 1 species